rnacentral:rRNA from 1 species
GAUGAACGCUGGCGGCGUGCCUAAUACAUGCAAGUCGAGCGAACGGACGAGAAGCUUGCUUCUCUGAUGUUAGCGGCGGACGGGUGAGUAACACGUGGAUAACCUACCUAUAAGACUGGGAUAACUUCGGGAAACCAUAGCUAAUACCGGAUAAUAUUUUGAACCGCAUGGUUCAAAAGUGAAAGACGGUCUUGCUGUCACUUAUAGAUGGAUCCGCGCUGCAUUAGCUAGUUGGUAAGGUAACGGCUUACCAAGGCAACGAUGCAUAGCCGACCUGAGAGGGUGAUCGGCCACACUGGAACUGAGACACGGUCCAGACUCCUACGGGAGGCAGCAGUAGGGAAUCUUCCGCAAAGGGCGAAAGCCUGACGGAGCAACGCCGCGUGAGUGAUGAAGGUCUUCGGAUCGUAAAACUCUGUUAUUAGGGAAGAACAUAUGUGUAAGUAACUGUGCACAUCUUGACGGUACCUAAUCAGAAAGCCACGGCUAACUACGUG